rnacentral:rRNA from 1 species
UUGGAGGGCAAGUCUGGUGCCAGCAGCCGCGGUAAUUCCAGCUCCAAUAGCGCAUAUUAAAGUUGUUGCAGUUAAAAAGCUCGUAGUUGAAUUUCGGGAUCAAAUUGUCGGUCGUGCCUCGGUACGCACUGGUAUUAUUGGUUCCUACCUUCUGAAGAACCGCGAUGUCAUUAAUUUGGUGUCGUGGGGAAUCAGGACUGUUACUUUGAAAAAAUUAGAGUGUUUAAAGCAGGCUUACGCUUGAAUACAUUAGCAUGGAAUAAUGAAAUAGGACGUUUGAUUCUAUUUUGUUGGUUUCUAGGAUUGACGUAAUGAUUAAUAGGGAUAGUUGGGGGCAUUAGUAUUCAAUUGUCAGAGGUGAAAUUCUUGGAUUUAUUGAAGACUAACUACUGCGAAAGCAUUUGCCAAGGAUGUUUUCAUUAAUCAAGAACGAAAGUUAGGGGAUCGAAGACGAUCAGAUACCGUCGUAGUCUUAACCAUAAACUAUGCCGACUAGGAAUCAGACGAUGUUAAUUUUUUAAUGACUCGUUUGGCACCUUACGGGAAACCAAAGUGUUUGGGUUC